rnacentral:ribozyme from 1 species
UUGUACAAGUCACCUGUGUAUUGUUCUCUCUAUCUUGCUGGCUAUUUGCGAUUGGGUUUGCACUCCCCCUUUCUUG